rnacentral:lncRNA from 1 species
GAGGACUCCAAUGUAAUACAUGCAAAAAUAGCAGAUUUUAUACGUUAUUGUUGUUCUAAGUUAUUUCAAAAUCACCCCUCGGUAGAGCUCAGCUGUCAUCACUGGUCUUCUUGCGUGGCAGUGACGCUAACGAGACUACCACCUUGAAAGUCCUCCCAACAGUUCUGAGAGAACGCCACUUUUGAAGAGGAACAAGAAAGAGAUCUGACAGCAGUUACUGCCCUCCAUCCACAUUCUCCGGUAUAGUCACGGGAUUUCAAUGUUCAACCUGCUCUUUACACCCAACUCCACCAACACCCUUUGGACAACAAAGCACCUAGACAAACAACAACUCCUACUAGCAUUACAAACCAAGCCUGGUCCAUUAGCUCAGUGGUUUUUCCCUUUGGUUACGAAACCCCCUAUCACAUGAUUUUACCCUUAGGGAUUACUAAAGCACCAAUAUAUUCCCUUUUUAUUUUACAAGUUUAUUUUUUUACCCCUUGUGAUUACCCUACUACAUAAUUGUAUCUUUUUUGUCUGACCAAUGUUUUAUUGUUGUUUAAUAAGUGUCAAUCAUAGUAUGCCUAAUCUUUAUUUCCUAAAUGUAAAAUUUUAUUUCUGACAUUUUAGAAGUUUAUUGCUCCAAAAUCUGUACAUUAUUUUCUUUGUUUAACAAUAGGCUAAAUUCAGUGAAUAGUAAUUGAAAGCCACAUUCACAAUGCUUUUGGUGUAGUAAAAUGUACAUUAGAACUUCAGCCAGUUUAGUGACAUGUCUGCCGCUUGUGUCGGACAUCCUUUUAUGGCUUGGACAAACUGUCCAAAUACAGCUAUGAAGCUGUUUAAAUGAGGCAAUCUGGGCCAUCUCAGCCGCCCUGGCUGACCUGUGCUGCACUGGCUGGCUGCUGCCUCAUCUUAACACAGCUGAUUUGAAGUGCUGAUCCUGCUGUGUCUCCAGGUAUGAGGCCUCUGCCUCCUCAUGAAAUUCAGGUAUUCACUGGUUGUGCUCUUCCCUGAGAAAAUAUGUAGGAAGACGUAAUGACAUGUACAGUUCCGGAAUGAAUCCAUAGCAGU